GUUCAACCAGAAGGGAACUUCUACUUUUACAUACAUUUGUUGAAAGUAUAACACACAACACCCUCCACAUUCUCCCACUUAUUACUGCAGUUCCAUUUGCUAUAAACCAUUUAGUGAGGAACUAGUGGAGAUGAAUGAAUGCAUAUCGGUGCACCAGAAGAUGUAGUUAAAUCCUACCUUGGGGUGCUAAAGGCGAGCCCUGGUUUUGGUCUCUCCUCUGUGGACUCAGAUGAUCCGAUGCAGUCCCAGAUUGUCUGUAGGAUCCACCCACACCAUUGCUGACUGGAAUACAACCACAACCAGGUACUCAGGGAACCUGCAAGUAUUUAUUCUUCCGAGUCAAUUUUAGUAUGAAUGAAAUCAGAAGGAGAGAAAGCAGGUGGUGGUUGGAGAGAUCAGUGUUGGAGACGGCCCCUCAGCUUGAAGGACUGACAGAGUUGUGGUCACUCUCAUGUGAUUCAACUUGACGCUCACUUUGUUUCCUUCCUCCCUCAGUUGCAAGUCGCCUGUAUCGUUUCCCAAGAGGCUCAUGCAUGUCGAUGGAUUUUAAGAAGUAUUACACCAACGUCAUCAAAUACAACUAACAUCUUAGUUGUGUGAGUAUUUCUCUUCUAAAUAGCCAAGGGAACUUUAUUUAUAUACCACUUUUUUUUCUUUUUGCAUCUCUGGUAUCAGAUCAACAGUUUCUCUGGUAUCAGUUCAUGUAUCUCUCUCGUAUCAGAACAACAGUCUCUCUGGCAGUGUUGGGAAAGUAUUGUACCUUUAUUGUACUGAAGGCCUAUCUGGUGUAAUAAGUGUAAAUGUAUCAUACCUAUUAAUAAUAAUUCAUAAAACUAAUUCUGUGUGUGUGUGUCGGUUAUGAUCGAGCCUUGUUUCCUCCUGCAAACUGGUUUAGUCUCCUCUAAAACCACGUCAGUCUCGAGAUUAGACUAACACGCACAAAAUACGCCCUCCAGUGUCUGAUGUGAAUUUCUCUGAAGGCACAGCAAUUGAGAUCAAGGUAAAACGCAGCUGCAGGUUAAACCACAAGUACAUAUGACACAGCAAGACGUCACGUGACUUCUUGAGUUAAAAACCUUUUUAAACUCUAAAAAGUGGCUAAGCUAGCGACAGAGCAAUUGCCCCAGUGAGCGUGCCAUUCACAGACCCCAGAAUGAACGAGUUCCAGUAACGUUCAUCAGUAAUACGAUCGAACAUGUCGGGGGAGGAUACAGUCACGUGCUCCGGACGUUUCUCUAAUCUAUACACAUGUGGAGUGGACACCAAACAUGUGGGGGAGGUUGAAGGUCCGUCGCAGCAGCUGUCUGCGGAUGGUGCUAAUGAUGUUAAUAACGCUGAUCAAGUGGCGCCAAUCCUCAUUAAAAUCUGCGCCCUCGUUUACAGGCGUCUCGACGGGACGUCAGUCGUGAGUAUCGAUUCACCAGGAUAAGCGACCAUCAUCUUCCUCCCUCAGCCUCUUAUCUUCACGAAGCUCUGGUCGCUCAACAAAGCGAGGCAGAGGCAGACCACUGUUUCGGUCAUUCACGCAAGAACACUGUUGUAGAGUGGUAUGAGAAGUAGAAAACCCCAAUUUAUUUUGGGAAGUAAAGGAGAUUCCUACUCAUUCCUUCCUUCCCUAACCCUAAUCUCCUUAUAGAAGUCUACACUUGCUUUCAACAAAGACUUUGUUAUUGUGUUCUUAAACAGUUUGUGCAUGUUAUUGGGGGGAUGGGGAAGUCAUGACAAGUUUAAUCAUUUUUGGUUAUGCUUACUGUCAUUGAAAAGUUUUAUUUUUUCAUGGUACAAUGUUUCAUCUGGAGAUCUGGAAAUAUCUGUUUAAUUGAAUGGGUUCGUUCAAUUUAAAGGGGGAGGAAUGUUGUAGAGUGGUAUACUGACUUCUGACCACUAGAGGCAGUAGUGCUAUUGCUCUCUACAAGAAGCUACCGCUUAUUAUCCUGUGGCUGAGCACACCUGUUGAUGUAGGAUUGCUAUGCUGUGAGUGCUAGGUUCCGUGGGGGACAAUAAACAUGUGAAGAGUAACGUCUGUGUCUGGCUAGUUUAUCCCAUUAUACCCAAUAUACUACAAACAAUGAUUCCGUUGGUUUAUUAUUUUAUUGUCGGCCACCAUAAGGCAAGCAUUAUGCUAAAACAGUCAAGCACACCUUCAUCUUAAUCUUAAUCCACCCAUUCCUCCUUUAUUUAUUUUCAGGUGUUUAAAUUGUGUAAGAAGGCUUUUGUGAAUGAAAGGUGUUUUCAUGAGAUGGGUUU
ensembl:lncRNA